GACGAACGCUGGCGGCGUGCUUAACACAUGUAAGUCGAACGCUGAAGCUCAGCUUGCUGGGUGGAUGAGUGGCGAACGGGUGAGUAACACGUGAGUAACCUGCCCUCUUCUUUGGGAUAACGCCCGGAAACGGGUGCUAAUACUGGAUAUUCACUGAUUCUCGCAUGGGGGUUGGUGGAAAGGUUUUUUCUGGUGGGGGAUGGGCUCGCGGCCUAUCAGCUUGUUGGUGGGGUGAUGGCCUACCAAGGCUUUGACGGGUAGCCGGCCUGAGAGGGUGACCGGUCACAUUGGGACUGAGAUACGGCCCAGACUCCUACGGGAGGCAGCAGUGGGGAAUAUUGCACAAUGGGCGAAAGCCUGAUGCAGCGACGCCGCGUGAGGGAUGGAGGCCUUCGGGUUGUAAACCUCUUUCGCUCAUGGUCAAGCCGCAGCUUUGGGUUGUGGUGAGGGUAGUGGGUAAAGAAGCGCCGGCUAACUACGUG
rnacentral:rRNA from 1 species